CUGAAAAUAGCUCCACAUCCAACCUGACAGAGCUUAAGAGGAUCUGUAGAGAAGAAAUGUAGGUGUGCCAAUCGUGUAGCAUUAUACCCAAGAAGACUCAAGGCUGUAAUCGCUGCCAAAGUUUCUUCAACAAAGUACUGAGUAAAGGGUCUGAAUACUCAUGUAAAUUUGAUAUUUCCGUUUUUUAUUUUUAAUACAUCUGCAAAAAUGUCCAAAAACCUGUUUUUGCUUCGUCAUUAUGGAGUAUUGUGUGUAAAUUCAUGAGGGGAAUAUUUAAAUUUUAAUUUUUUUUUUUUUUGAAUAAGGCUGUAAAGUAACACAAUGUUGAAAAAGUCAAUUGGUUUGAAUACUUUCCGAAUGCACUGGACAUGUUUAACUUCGAUAGCUGAGCAGUUUGGUGCUUUAUUCCUAUAGGAGAGAUCAGCAGGUUGGUUCUCUAUUCCUAUAGG
ensembl:lncRNA